AUGAAACUCGUCUUCAGACUGGUGAGAAAUGAACCAAGUAACUUCAGGAGUGGAGGAGUGGAUAAACUGAAAACAGAAGAGGAAAGAGGCAAAGAACUAGAGAACAUUCUAGAGCCCAGAACGACAGGGAGAGCAAAAGGGUCUUCGUUUAGUUUUGAGACGAAACCAAAACGACAAGAUAUUCGGAGUGACCCUACACCUCUAGAAACAGGGCCACAGCCUAACUUGGGCGGAGGCAGGUGGUUCAGUACAUCAAGUCUGUUUCAGAAUCGUGGGAGAGGUUGGACUAAAGGAUCUCUCUCGCUGGAUGCCUCUGUGGAGCAUGAUGGAUACUUUAGUGCAGAGGAGCAGGCGACCUCUGACCCAGAAGAGGAGAAGGAAGAUAAAAUGGUGCAAUCUGUGAGGAUAGAGGAAGAGAUCCAGCGUUCUGAAGAGACUGAGAAAUGAGAGUUGAGUGUGAAUGUGUGCGUAAUGCCAUCAGUGUACAGCACAGACAGUAGGUUUCAUGCAUAACUCUUGAAAGAGGGGGAAAAACAUUAACUUUGAAGUUUUGCAUACUCUUAAAAAUAAAGGUUCCUGGUAGUGUGACCAAAAAAAGCUAAUUGUAAAUGGCUGUUAAGAAACCAAACAUUACCAGCAGGGGUCAUACUAACCAGCCCAAAACAAAAAGUUAGUGACCAAAAAGGGUUUUACAGGACCUUUUUAUCCUUUAAAUCUAGAAGAAACUAUCUUAUACAAACUGAAAACCCUAUAAUGGAUUCCAAAGAACUGUACACAGUGGAAAUUACUGUUGUUUAGAGAGUUCUUUGCAAGAAGCUUUAUUUUUAAGAGUGUGGUCUUAGAAUGCACCAAAAUAAUGCAUUUCACAGAGACACCAGAGCCAGCUCUUUACACACUGUCUCAUCAUAGUAUGCUGAGAUACAUGUUUCAUAUCCCUUAAAACGUAGUUAUUUCUGUCACAGCAUUAUGUCCAUACUGAGAUAUGGCAUGUCUAUUGUCAAGUCCUGUGAUCUCCAGUGUGAAAGCAUAUAAAAUAUAAUUGUGUUCUGUACAAUGCAGGAAACUAGUAACAAUGUGUAAAACAAGCAUAUCAUAUAUGCAGAUGUUGUUUCUCAAAGUGACUGUGAUCACCCUGUGUCAUGUAAAAUAUGUCUACAAAUCAAUAUUGUUUAUAUGCAUAUAAAAAUAAAGCCAUAGUUGACUGACGACUCUUGCCUUAUUUUUGUUUAAUAAAAACUUAAAGGUCAAAUUAUACAUAAUGACGUUUACAACGUA
rnacentral:lncRNA from 1 species